rnacentral:lncRNA from 1 species
GUUUUGUUUAAAGGUAGAGCGAAAUACAAAAAAGGGGAUAUUGUGUUUAAGGCCAAAAUGGCCACCUUCUGUGUAAGUCCCAAAAUGUUUUAAGUCCUUUAUAAACGCCACAUUCAGGCAAGUGGAUGCAACGGCGUGGCUUGCCAAGCUUAAAAGAGAUCCUGUCACUCUCUGCUCUCGCUUACGGUCAUACCACCCUGAGCACGCCCGAUCUCGUCUGAUCUCGGAAGCUAAGCAGGGUCAGGCCUGGUUAGUACUUGGAUGGGAGACUGCCUAGGAAUACCAGGUGCUGUAAGCUUUUUUCCUUUCUCCUUAACCCUAGCAGGGGGCGCUGUUUGCUCAGGUCUACAUUAUACUGCACCGUGUUAUGGGAAAAGUGUUUUCUUUCUUAUUCUAUGCACUUAUUGUAUGAUUUAUGAGGUAUCUUCUGCAAUCAAUAUGUUUUGUUUUUAUUAGUUCUGUUUUAUGUAUUUGACAUUUCACCUAGAUUGUUCAAUUAUUGGUUAACUCAAUAAUUGCAUCGUUCUUAGACAACAGACGCUAUUACCUGCAAGAAUUUUCUGUUUUCAGUCACAGAGCUGGUUUUGCUUUGUUCACAGUUCAUGCCUAUGGUCGGUGACACAUUACAAGUAAUGAUUUUGGCUUCUCUCUAGUUGUUUUGUUUAAAGGUAGAGCGAAAUACAAAAAAGGGGAUAUUGUGUUUAAGGCCAAAAUGGCCACCUUCUGUGUACGUCCCAAAAUGUUCUAAGUCCUUUAUAAAUGCCACAUUCAGGCAAGUGGAUGCAACGGCGUGGCUUGCCAAGCUUAAAAGAGCUCCUGUCACUAUCUGCUCUCGAGUAUGGCCAUACCACCCUGAGCACGCCCGAUCUCGUCUGAUCUCGGAUGCUAAGCAUGGUCGGGCCUGGUUAGUAGUUGAAUGGGAGACUGCCUAGGAAUACCAGUUGCUGUCAGUUUUUUUUAUUUCUCCUCAACCCUAGCAGGGGGUGCUGUUUUCUCAGGUCCACAUUAUACUGCACCGUGUUAUGGGAAAAGUGUUUUCUUUCUUAUUCUAUGCAGUUAUUGUAAGAUUUAUGAGGUAUCUUCUGCAAUCAAUAUAUUUUGUUUUUAUUACUUCUGUUUUAUGUAUUUGACAUUUCACCUAGAUUGUUCAAUUAUUUGUUAACUCAAUAAUUGCAUCGUUCUUAGACAACAGACGCUAUUACCUGCAAGAAUUUUCUGUUUUCAGUCACAGUGCUGCUUUUGCUUUGUUCACAGUUCAUGCCUAUGGUCGGUGACACAUUACAAGUAAUGAUUUUGGCUUCUCUCUAGUUGUUUUGUUUAAAGGGAGAGCAAAUUACAAAAAAGGGGAUAUUGUGUUUAAGGCCAAAAUGGCCACCUUCUGUGUACGUGUAAUAUAUUUAUGUAUCAUAUCAUAUAUUAUUAUAUAGGUAGUGAACAAUCUGUUCGGGUCAGGUUAAGGUGCAGUGACUGAUCCUCAACCCUUGCAGUUUGGAAGGGUCGUUGUCUGGGGAGCAUCUGGGAUAGACUCCAGGAAACAGACGUUUACAUUUACUUUUAGCAGUAAAAUUGAUCAUUGCUUAUGAGAGAAGUACAGAGAGUAGAUGGGUUUGUGUGUCCUCAGUGACUGGGGUGAAAGAGUUUGCGUAAACUGGGUUCGCAGAAUCCGUGUUCGCAGAAUCUGUUGUUGUUAACAAUGAUUAUCCAAGCUGUUCCUAAGGAAAUAUUCAAAAUGUCACGCCGACCUGGGAAAGGAACUGGGAGGUUUCCUCUGCAGAGGAACAAGCAGGUGAAUUCGGUCUCUGCCUCUCUUGCUAUUACUCUUAUGUAAUCAUUAUCUGAUUGAUUUAAUUUGUCAUGUAUAAUAAAUUUGUAUGCUAUUGAUUUAAACUUCA